GUGAGGAAUUUUGCGCAAUGGGCGAAAGCCUGACGCAGCGACGCCGCGUGGAGGAGGAAGGUCUUCGGAUCGUAAACUCCUGUCAGGAGGGAAGAAAAUCGGCGGGAUGAAUAAGUCCGCCGGUCGACGGUACCUCUGGAGGAAGCCCCGGCUAACUCCGUGCCAGCAGCCGCGGUAAUACGGAGGGGGCCAGCGUUGUUCGGAAUUAUUGGGCGUAAAGGGCGCGUAGGCGGCUUGGCAAGUCAGUUGUGAAAUCCCUCGGCUCAACCGAGGAACUGCGACUGAUACUGCCGGGCUCGAGUCCCGGAGAGGGUAGCGGAAUUCCCAGUGUAGCGGUGAAAUGCGUAGAUAUUGGGAGGAACAUCGGUGGCGAAGGCGGCUACCUGGACGGGUACUGACGCUGAGGCGCGAAAGCUAGGGGAGCAAACAGGAUUAGAUACCCGGGUAGUCC
rnacentral:rRNA from 1 species